rnacentral:lncRNA from 1 species
GGUGACAUUGGCUACCAUAUUGCCGGUGUUGCGUAGGGGAGUCUGGUUUGCGACCAUUGACUUACGUGACGCUUAUUUCCAUAUCUAUACAGCGCUCCCAUCGUAGGUACCUCAGUUUUUUAGUAGGACACUCCAUCUAUUCCUUCAAUGUGCUGCCGUUUGGCCUAGCCACGGCGCCAAGGGUGUUCACCAAAUGCAUGGCUACUGUGGCCGCAUACUUAAGGCAAAGAGGAAUAGUUAUCUUCCCUUACAUUGAUGAUUGGCUGGUCGUUAGUGAAUCAGACAGGCCUGAAGGAUGAUGUGUCCUCUACGCUCCUUCUUUUGCAGGACCUCGGCCUCGUAGUCAACGAGGAAAAGUCUCAUUUAACCCCUUCGCAAAACAUCGAGUUCAUUGGGGCUGUCCUGGACUCUCGGUCGGAAAGGGCCUACCUUCCGGAGUCCCGCUUCCGUACUAUCCGGGCCUCUAUCCUGCAACUCCGUUCCCGACGACAAGCUUCAGCAUGGCAUAUCCAAUCCAUCCUAGGUCAUAUGGCCUCCACCACGGCGGUGGUAAAACUAGCAAAACUCAGGAUGAGACCUCUUCAGAGGUGGUUCCUGGACUCGUUCGAUCCGUCCUGCGACAGCCAAUGGAUGAUGUUGAAGCCUCCAGGUCCUGUCCUGCAUUCACUACGAUGGUGGACAAGCAGACGCAACCUGCGGGCAGGUCUUCCUUUCUGCCCCCCGAUACCAACUUACGAGGUUACAACGGAUGCGUCUCAAGACGGAUGGGGUGCUCAUCUCAACGAUUUAGUGAUCAACGGUCGCUGGACAGGCCAGUUACGCGAUGCCCAUAUCAACGUCCUCGAACUUCUGGCAGUGGAAAAAGCCCUCCACGCCUUCGAAAGGAUCCUGCAAGGGACCACCGUACGGAUCGUGACAGACAAUACAACGGUAAAAUGCUACCUCAACCGGCAGGGGGGUACCCAUUCGAGGCGUCUGCUACACCUCUCCCUACGCCUUUGGAACUGGUGCGUCAAGAAGCGAGUGACACUGCAAGCAAUACAUUUACCAGGGAAAGACAACGUGUUGGCAGACGCACUCAGCCGCUCGAAGUCGGCAUGUCACGAAUGGCAGCUGAAACACACGGAGUUCCGCCUUCUGGCGCGUCACUGGGGCUGGCCGAUAAUCGACUUGUUUGCAUCCCCGGAGAACCCGGGCACGGUUCCAGGGUGUUUAGGGGAUGCGUUCCGGUUCCAAUGGACCGGAGGACUACUGUAUGCUUUCCCUCCUCUACCAAUGAUAGGAAAGACCAUCUCGAAAAUCCUGUCGGACAACACAGACUGCAUAGUAAUAACACCGUGGU